GACGAACGCUGGCGGCGUGCUUAACACAUGCAAGUCGAACGGAAAGGCCCUGCUUUUGUUGGGUGCUCGAGUGCCGCACGGGUGAGUAACACGUGUGUAACCUGCCCUUGACUUUGGGAUAACUUCUCGGAACUGGGGCUAAUACCGGAUAGGAGCUCUUGCACCACGGUGGGGGAUGGUAAGUUUCGGCGGUUGGGGAUGGACUCGCGGGUUAUCAGCUUGUUUGUGGGGUAGUGGCUUACCAAGGCUUUGACGGGUAGCCGGCCUGAGAGGGUGGCCGGCGACAAGGGGACUGAGAGACGGACCAGACUGCAACGGGCGGCAGCAGUGGGGAGUAUUACACAAUGGGCGGAAGUCAGAUGUAGCGACGCCGCGUGCGGGAUGCCGGCCUUUGGGUUAUAAACAGCUUUCGCCGGUGACGAAGCGGGAGUGACGGUAAUGGGUAAAGAAGCACCGGCUAACUACGUG
rnacentral:rRNA from 1 species